rnacentral:rRNA from 1 species
GGUUACUAAGUCAAUGAAGACCCAACAACUAGUUGACAUCGUUUAGGGCGUGGACUACCAGGGUAUCUWAUCCUGUUUGCUCCCCACGCUUUCGUGCAUGAGCGUCAGUAUUGGCCCAGGGGGCUGCCUUCGCCAUCGGUAUUCCUCCACAUCUUUACGCAUUUUACUGCUACACGUGGAAUUYUACCCCCCUCUKCCAUACUCUAGCCCGCCAGUCACAAAUGCAGUUCCCAGGUUAAGCCCGGGGWUUUUACAUCUUUUUUAGCGGACCGCCUGCKCACGCUUUACGCCCAGUWAUUYCGAUUAACGCUUGCACCCUACGUAUUACCGCGGCUGCUGGCACGUWGUUAGCCGGUGCUUAUUCUUYCGGUACCGUCAUCCUCCCGCCGUAUUAGGACAGAWGUUUUCUUUCCGGACAAAAGUGCUUUACAACCCGAWGGCCUUCUUCACACACGCGGCAUUGCUGGAUCAKGCUUUCGCCCAUUKUYCAAWAUUYCCCACUGCUGCCUCCCCGUAGRGKUCUGGGCCGUKUUUCAUUCCCAKUUUGGCUGGUCGUUCUCUY